GAUGAAGAACGCAGCGAAAUGCGAUAAGUAGUGUGAAUUGCAGAAUUCAGUGAAUCAUCGAAUCUUUGAACGCACAUUGCGCCCCUUGGUAUUCCAUGGGGCAUGCCUGUUCGAGCGUCAUUUGUACCUUCAAGCUUUGCUUGGUGUUGGGUGUUUGUCCUGAGGGACUCGCCUUAAAGUAAUUGGCAGCCAGUGUUUGGUUUUGAAGCGCAGCACAAGUCGCGAUUCAAAGCUAUACGCCCGCUUCCACAAGCCUUUUUCACUUUUGACCUCGGAUCAGGUAGAGAUACCCGCUGAACUUAAGCAUAUCAAUAAGCGGAGGA
rnacentral:misc_RNA from 1 species